rnacentral:rRNA from 1 species
CCUUGGUAGCGGCGAGUGAAGCGGCAAAAGCUCAAAUUUGAAAUCUGGCACCUUCGGUGUCCGAGUUGUAAUUUGAAGAUUGUAACCUUGGGGUUGGCUCUUGUCUAUGUUUCUUGGAACAGGACGUCACAGAGGGUGAGAAUCCCGUGCGAUGAGAUGCCCAAUCCUAUGUAAGGUGCUUUCGAAGAGUCGAGUUGUUUGGGAAUGCAGCUCUAAGUGGGUGGUAAAUUCCAUCUAAAGCUAAAUAUUGGCGAGAGACCGAUAGCGAACAAGUACAGUGAUGGAAAGAUGAAAAGAACUUUGAAAAGAGAGUGAAAAAGUACGUGAAAUUGUUGAAAGGGAAGGGUUUGAGAUCAGACUCGAUAUUUUGUGAGCCUUGCCUUCGUGGCGGGGUGACCCGCAGCUUAUCGGGCCAGCAUCGGUUUGGGCGGUAGGAUAAUGGCGUAGGAAUGUGACUUUGCUUCGGUGAAGUGUUAUAGCCUGCGUUGAUGCUGCCUGCCUAGACCGAGGACUGCGAUUUUAUCAAGGAUGCUGGCAUAAUGAUCCCAAACCGCCCGUCUUGAAACACGG